rnacentral:rRNA from 1 species
CAGCCGCCGCGGUAAUACGUAGGUGGCAAGCGUUGUCCGGAAUUAUUGGGCGUAAAGCGCGCGCAGGUGGUUUAAUAAGUCUGAUGUGAAAGCCCACGGCUCAACCGGGGAGGGUCAUUGGAAACUGGGAAACUUGAGUGCAGAAGAGGAGAGUGGAAUUCCACGUGUAGCGGUGAAAUGCGUAGAGAUGUGGAGGAACACCAGUGGCGAAGGCGACUCUCUGGUCUGUAACUGACGCUGAGGAGCGAAAGCGUGGGGAGCGAACAGGAUUAGAUACCCCCGUAGUCCCUGUCUCUUAUAC